AGUGAACGCUGGCGGUAGGCCCAACACAUGCAAGUCGAACGGCAGCACAGUAAGAGCUUGCUCUUACGGGUGGCGAGUGGCGGACGGGUGAGGAAUACAUCGGAAUCUACUUUUUCGUGGGGGAUAACGUAGGGAAACUUACGCUAAUACCGCAUACGACCUGCGGGUGAAAGCAGGGGAUCUUCGGACCUUGCGCGAUUGAAUGAGCCGAUGUCGGAUUAGCUAGUUGGCGGGGUAAAGGCCCACCAAGGCGACGAUCCGUAGCUGGUCUGAGAGGAUGAUCAGCCACACUGGAACUGAGACACGGUCCAGACUCCUACGGGAGGCAGCAGUGGGGAAUAUUGGACAAUGGGCGCAAGCCUGAUCCAGCCAUACCGCGUGGGUGAAGAAGGCCUUCGGGUUGUAAAGCCCUUUUGUUGGGAAAGAAAAGCAGCAGGUUAAUACCCCGCUGUUCUGACGGUACCCAAAGAAUAAGCACCGGCUAACUUCGUG
rnacentral:rRNA from 1 species